rnacentral:rRNA from 1 species
UACGUAGGGGGCAAGCGUUGUCCGGAAUCAUUGGGCGUAAAGAGCGUGUAGGCGGCUCGGUAAGUCCGCUGUGAAAGUCCAGGGCUCAACCCUGGAAUGCCGGUGGAAACUGUCGAGCUAGAGUCCGGAAGAGGCGAGUGGAAUUCCUGGUGUAGCGGUGAAAUGCGCAGAUAUCAGGAGGAACACCGGUGGCGAAGGCGGUGGUCUGGGCCGGCACUGACGCUGAGAAGCGAAAGCGUGGGUAGCAAACAGG